GACUGAGGAGGGAAAUUUUUACAAAAUUAGUCCAGUAGUUGGCAUCUACAUUUUCCCACCACCGAGACUUUAAUGAGAUGUUUAUCGUAAUGUUAAUGUUGAUAGAUUGGUGAUAGUAGAGGUUAUAGUAGUUAGCCUCUUCAUAUCCCCACCACCGAGGCAUCAAUAAGAUAUUACUGUUUACCGAGAUGUUGAUAAUAAUAAUUCUUAACAAUAGUUGAGGUAAUAAUAGUUGGCCUCUACUUUUCCCUUCCACCAAAAUUUAGAUUAUUUAUUCUAAUGAUGACAGUAUUGCUACUUGAAAUUGAAAUGAAAACUUUUAACCUCCACCAAAUUUUGAAAAUUUGGCCUCCAAAUUCCUCCACAUAGUGCUCUACUACCGUGACUUAGAUUUUCCUUUUCGGUGAUGACAGUAUAUUGG